GUAGGUGGCAAGCGUUGUCCGGGAAUUAUUGGGGCGUAAAGCGCGCGCAGGCGGUUCUUCAAGUCUGAUGUGAAAGCCCACGGGCUCAACCGUGGAGGGUCAUCGGAAACUGGAGAACUUGAGUACAGAAGAGGAAAGCGGAAUUCCACGUGUAGCGGUGAAAUGCGUAGAGAUGUGGAGGAACACCAGUGGCGAAGGCGGCUUUCUGGUCUGUAACUGACGCUGAGGCGCGAAAGCGUGGGGAGCAAACAGGAUUAGAUACCCUGGUAGUCCACGCCGUAAACGAUGAGUGCUAAGUGUUAGGGGGUUUCCGCCCCUUAGUGCUGCAGCUAACGCAUUAAGCACUCCGCCUGGGGAGUACGGCCGCAAAGGCUG
rnacentral:rRNA from 1 species